UUGUAUUUUCCGGGAUUGUAAGACUUAUUUUAUUUUACUAAAAGAAAGUGGGAAAAUGUAAACAAUAUUUUUUUGGCUGUCAUUACAGGAGCUUAAUCGUCAAUAAUAAUGGACAAAUUGACUGUUGAUUAUACAAAAACUUAAACGACCAUCAUCAUUUAUCUUUUCCAACAUUAUUGCUGGAUUACACUACAUAUUUCUGUAAAAAAAAAUGAAGACAAUGAAAAAUUGUAUUGGCAGUUUUGUUCCUGUGAUACAAUGUUGUCCAUCCAUUUUGUUUUGGAAAAAAAAAACAGAUGCAGAUAAAGCAGAUUAGCCUAAGUACAUGUACUUUAAACAUGAUAAAAGCUGUAAUUGUGAGAUGGAGGAUGGAAGAAAGCAAACAGAAGCAAUAAAUACAAGUACCGGUAAUUAUAAAAUUACACAUUUAGGAUUGACUUAUUGCGAUUACAUGUUUUCAUAUGUAGUAUUUUUCACAUGAUUUACAUUAAAGUUAUGUAUAAAAAAGGGAAUUUGCAUCAAUUAUUGUUUAUUUAUAAGAGGAAAAAUAUGGUGUCCAAUGCUGCAACAAUUAAUUUAAAGUUAUACUAACUAGUGCUGACAAUUAACGAACCUCCUCGUUAACCAAAAAAAAAAAGGUUUUAAUAUAAAAAGAAAAAUUGGUAUGAUUGCAAAUGAGACAACUCUCCAUGUGAGAUCACAAGUGGUUGGUGUCAGCAACUUUAUUACUUACCAUACAUGAUACAAAUCUAACAAACUAUAAAGAGUCACAAAAUGACAUAGAUAAAACAAUUUAAACAAGAAAAUAAAAAGGCUUAUUGUUACUAAGUUUACUUGCUCAUAAGAAUAAGCCAUCAUACUAAGAGAAGAAGUGUAUGGUCAUGCAUGUAUUCAUGUAGUAAAUGUUAAGAUAGGUAAACUAAGUUUGUUCUUUGUUAUAGACUGUAUAUGUAAUAUAUAUACUUAAUAUUUACUAAUAUUUUUGCACACUUAUGAAUAGAUUAAUGUAUGAAGUGCUCCUUUUAUAAAAAUCCAGGAAAAGAAAACCAUGAGCAAGCUUCAAAAGAUAAAGUUGAUGAUAAUAAAUCCGAAUAGCUGAUGAUAAUCUUUACUUUUUCCAUGCUGGAAGGAGCUUGGUGUGUUUUUGGAGGAAUUUGGUGAAUUAUGUUCUACUACAGAAGAGCAUGUAGUAAAUAUAUUGGAGAGGAAACAUCCAAAGUAGUAGAUCUGUGUUGGCUACACUUCUGACAAUUUUAUAUGUUUCCAAUAUUUGGAUCAUUUUAUUUUUAACUACAAUGGAUCAAUGUGUCCAUUUAAGGGGUUGCAAUAUUUAUGUCUAAUCAAUGUAAAAUGUUUGCAAUGUCAUUGGAAAUCAGAGUUUUUUGGGUUUUUUUUGUAUUUGAGAUUAAUCAGAAGUACAAUUGAUUUGCAGAUUUUAAUUAACAUCUACAGUUAAAUCUUUUACAGAUUAAUCUUUCUUUCCAAAUGCCAGUGGUUUUCUUUGUAGUUUUUAUAUUGGUGUCAAAUUAAAUAAUUUAAUGAAUAGGUAAAAAUUGCUAGUAUUUCAAUUAUGACAAAAAUAGAUAGUCAACUUUAAAAAGUUCUGUUACUUUUUCAAAACAUUAUAUAUUGAUCCAACUAAAUGUCAAGUUAUUUGGUAAUGUGUUGUAUCAUGGUCAAUUUUAACUUUUUCAUCAGUAGGGGAAAAACUGCAAUUUCCAUGUCAGAAAAAAGUAUGACAAUAAACUUUAAAGAUUUCUGUAACUUUUUCAAAUAAACUUGCAUAUUCUUAAAACUCUACAGUUUACUUUAUUACAUAUUAUUCUUACUAAAUGCUAGGUUAUAUAAUAGUUUGUUAUAUUCGUGUCAACUGUAAAGAUUUAAUUGAGAGGUAAAAAAAUGGAAAUUUUUCAUGUCAGAAAAGUUAUGAUAUGAACUUUAAAAAUGUCUGUAACUUUUUGAAAUAAACUAGCAUAUUCUUAAAACUCUACAAUUUACUUAAUUACAUAUCAAUCUUACUAAAUGCUAGGUUACAUGGUCGUUUGUUGUUUUGGUGUCAACUGUAAAGAUUUAAUUUAGAGGUAAAAAAAAUUGAAAUUUCAUGUUGGAAAAAGUUGUGACAGUCAACUUUAAAAUUUCUGUAACUUUUCAAAUAAACUUGCAUAUUCUUAAAACUCUACAGUUCACUGAAUUACCUAUUAUUCUUACUAAAUGCCAGGUUAUAUGGUUGUUUGUUAUAUUGGUGUCAACUAAAAAAUGGAAAUUUUUCAUGUCGGAAAAAAUUAUGAUAGUCAACUAAAAAAUUUCUGUAACUUUUUCAAAUAAACUUGCAUAUUCUUAAAAAUCUACAGUUUACCUAAUUACAUAUUAUUCUUACUAAAUGCUAAGUUAUAUUGUUGUUUGUUGUAUUGGUGUCAACUGUAAAGAUUUAAUUGAGAGGUAAUAAAAAUGGAAAUUUUUCAUGUUCGAAAAAGUUAUGAUAGUCAA